rnacentral:lncRNA from 1 species
UUUAAUUCUUGUUCAUCAUUUCAUUAAUAUUGAACAUUUGAUCUUCAAAUUCAUCCAUGUAUGAUAUAUUAUAUAUCUACUAUAUUUCAUAUUUCAUGUAAUGUGAAUCAUGAACAAUGUAUCUUGUACCAUAUAUCAUGUAUGAUAGAUCAUGUAUUAUAUAACACACUAUUUUUUUGUGUAGAUGGAAGAGCAUGGGAGGGAGCCUGAUGAGGCCGAGUUUAUAGGAUGACACAUACCCAUCGAGAUAGCAGCUUUGUAUGAGGAGUCUAGAGAUCUUAUUAUAUGUAUUAAUCUAUUUGUUGAAUGAUUUAUAACAUCAUUUUUUUAUCAUUAGUAUGUAGAUCUUUUCUUAAAUAUACAGGAUAGGAUAACAACUCUAAUUACAAAAAGCAUAUCGAUGAGUCAUCAUCAUCUAUGUAGUGUAGUCUCAUCGAGGCUUAGGUUUUCACUGGGC